UUCAUUCUCUUUAGUGUUUGCCCUGUGUCCGCCACCUCCCUCCGCCACUGCGAUUCGCCCCCCCUUCCCAGACCCCCUCCCCGCCUCGGGACCCGGCCAAUGGACUGAGACGCCCGCCUGCCCGCCCGCAGCACCAGCCGGCCCGGGAGCCGCAGCCCAGGCAGCCAGGCUUUCUCCAACAUAAAUACCCUCCUUGGAACUAAAACCAAAACUUCACUGUCCCUGGAUCACCUAAAGGUAGACCAUUAGGUUCCAUCGCACUGAAUUAACCUGCAUUCAAAGCUGUCUACCUUUAGUAAUUCACUUUGGUUGCAAGUGAACAUGUCUCAAGUUCAAAUUCAGAAUCCAUCUGCUGCUCUCUCAGGGAGCCAAAUAUUGAAUAAGAACCAAUCUCUUUCGCAGCCUUUGAGUAUUCCUUCUACCACUAGUUCUCUGCCCUCUGAAAAUGCAGGUAGACCUCUUCAAAACUCUGCUUUACCUUCUGCAUCUGUUACAUCCACCAGUGCAG